rnacentral:misc_RNA from 1 species
CACGUAGGCACCAAGCGUUGUCCGGAUUUACUGGGCGUAAAGGGUUCGUAGGUGGCCAAGUGUGUCGGGUGUGAAAUCUUGCGGCUUAACCGUAAAAUUGCGCCCGAAACUACUUGGCUAGAGACUCGGAGGGGUAAGCGGAAUUCCAGGUGUAGCGGUGAAAUGCGUAGAUAUCUGGAGGAACACCAACGGCGAAGGCAGCUUGCUGGACGAGAUCUGACACUGAGGAACGAAAGCAUGGGUAGCGAAAGGG